rnacentral:rRNA from 1 species
AUACGUAGGGUGCGAGCGUUGUCCGGAAUUACUGGGCGUAAAGAGCUCGUAGGUGGUUUGUCGCGUCGUCUGUGAAAUUCCGGGGCUUAACUCCGGGCGUGCAGGCGAUACGGGCAUAACUUGAGUACUGUAGGGGAGACUGGAAUUCCUGGUGUAGCGGUGAAAUGCGCAGAUAUCAGGAGGAACACCGGUGGCGAAGGGGGGUCUCUGGGCAGUAACUGACGCUGAGGAGCGAAAGCAUGGGUAGCGAACAGGAUUAUAUACCCUGGUAGUCCAUGCCGUAAACGGUGGGCGCUAGGUGUAGGGGUCUUCCACGACUUCUGUGCCGUAGCUAACGCAUUAAGCGCCCCGCCUGGGGAGUACGGCCGCAAGGCUAAAACUCAAAGGAAUUGACGGGG